UACAUGGAACUCAUUCAGAAACUGCUGUGGGAUUGGUAGCAGCUGUUCCAUGAAUGGGAAAUUAGGGUCCCACACCCCAAAGGAACAGAGAAAGAAUCUGACACACAUUCAACCAAUUUAACAUUAACAAGCACUUAUUGGAAGCAGUGCCUCAUGACAGCCUCACAAAGCCUGGUUUCCCUCUGCUGCUAACUGGCCUGCAUUUACAAACAACACACACACGAAGAUGAAGAGAGACAGUACUUGGUUAUUUACACAUGACGACUGUAAGUCUGGUUCUGCCAAGUCCUGCCUGUUGUUGAAGCGUCUCUCCAGCGAGAUUCACUCUGGACACUGAUCCCUGAAGACAGCUGUCAAGUCUGGCUGCGCUGAUGGGACCUGGAUCCACACGUGUCCUGGGGAAUGUUCCGAUCCUGUUGCUCUGCGUUUCUUUUGUUCUGUAUUCAAUAAACUGCUGUUUGCGCUAGCUGUUGAGUGU
rnacentral:lncRNA from 1 species